GAAGGAAAAAGGAAGCCAGCUUGGGUGUCAUGGAAGACUAUGACUCAGCCAAAACACAUGGGAGGCCUUGGUUUUCGUGAUUUUGAGCUCUUCAAUCUAGCACUUUUGGCACGACAAUCAUGGAGGAUGCUACAGCAGCCGGAUUCUUUGUGUGCUCGGAUGUUGAAGGCGGUCUAUUUUCCCCAAGGAACCAUUCUAACAGCUGAAUUGGGUAAUCGGCCAUCUCAAGUCUGGCAGGCUAUCCUAGAGGGGCGUGAGGGUAUGUGUCAAGGUUUAAUCAGGAGAAUCGGUAAUGGGUCAACUACAAGGAUUUGGACAGAGAAUUGGAUCCCAAGGAAUGCUUCAAUGCGGCCGUUUGCUUGUCUCUCGGCUGAUCCUUCUACCAUGGUGAGCGACCUAAUAGAUCACACAAAUGCGACAUGGAAUAGAGUGGUCCUUGAUCAAGUCUUUAUAGCAGCAGAUACGACUACUAUUCUUAGCAUACCGCUAUGUACGCGGCCGAUGGAGGACCAAUGGGCAUGGAAUUAUGAAAGGAACGACACCUUCUCGGUUCGGUCAGCCUAUCGCGUGUUAGUUGAUACGAAACGACGAAGGGAAAACUGGCUGGAGGGGAAUGCAGGGUCCUCAGAUUUUGAGACGGAAUCAAAGGCAUGGACGUCUCUAUGGUCAGUCCAGGUGCCGGGUGUCGGUGUCAAAACCGGCGGAUCUCGGGUAGGGGGUCCCGAACUGUGCAUCUAG
rnacentral:rRNA from 1 species